rnacentral:rRNA from 1 species
CUAGUACGGGAGGCAGCAGUGGGGAAUCUUCCGCAAUGGACGAAAGUCUGACGGAGCAACGCCGCGUGAGUGAUGACGGCCUUCGGGUUGUAAAGCUCUGUUAAUCGGGACGAAUGGUUCUUGUGCGAAUAGUGCGAGGAUUUGACGGUACCGGAAUAGAAAGCCACGGCUAACUACGUGCCAGCAGCCGCGGUAAUCUAG